AGGGCCAGCUGUAUCUACUGGUGACAGACCAGGGUUUUCUUACAGAAGAGAAAGUGGUCUGGGAGAGUUUACACAAUGUGGAUGGAGAUGGCAAUUUCUGUGACUCUGAAUUUCACCUGAGACCUCCAUCUGACCCAGAAACUGUGUACAAAGGACAGCAGGAUCAAAUAGAUCAGGACUAUUUGAUGGCCUUGUCCUUACAGCAGGAGCAGCAAAGUCAGGACUUACCCUGGGAGCAGAUUCCUGAAGGAAUAAGUGAUCUCGAACUAGCAAAAAAACUGCAGGAAGAAGAAGACAGACGAGCAUCCCAGUUCUAUCAUGAACAGGAACAGGCAGCUGCAGCUCAAAGCCAAGAAGGUCAACAAUCGCAGGCAGCUGCUGCUGGCAAACAGCUUGGGGGCACUGAACGGAAACAGCGCAAGGAAACAAGGGAAAAAGAAAAGGACAAGUGCAUUCUCUUGUGAUGGGGGUUGGAGUUUACCAGAAACUAAGUGCAUAACCCUUAAAAGAUGAUAUGCCGCCUGUGCCUGAUCCCGAAUUGUUCACACUUUGAGAAGCAAAGGGAUGACUUCUUUAAUACAGUCGGCCAAACUUUGUUCAAUGUUGCACAAUGCACUAUAUUCUCAACGGAGUUUCUUUGGCAUUGAUUGAUGCAGUUACAUUUCAUUUGAUGUAAAUCAUUGUUCAAAACAUACAAGAAGCACCUUUACGUGUUAACAAUGAAAUCACAAUGUUUGUUUUCUACAUCACUUGCAUUAAUUAAUGCAAUCAGCUAAUAAGCUAUCUUGGCUAAUACUGCCUCAUUUUUAUUACAGGUCAAGGGCAGUUCACGGUAUGUUUAGUUUUAAUGCUCACAAUGAGGGACAAUAGCUAGAUUUUUAUUUUAGCUUUCAUUAAGUGCUACUAGAACUGAUCACCCCAGUGAAUUACAGAAAACAAAGACAAAACAAAUAAAAAUGGUCUUUCAUGCAAUGGCUUAUUAAAGAUAUGAUGACACAAAUUUUGAUGAGAUACACAUGUAGAAGUUAGACAAUAUUUUGUCCAAUUGACAGUUUUUCAUGAGCUGGUUUUAUUUUGAGCUGUACUAAUCUGAAGGAAUGCACGGAGACAGGUUAACAUUUAAUAGUGGUAUCUCUUGCUUCAAGUUUUCUUUAACUGAAUGAAUUUGCUUUUUUUUUGAAGGAAUAUAAUAUUUUUCUGACAAUAAUCAAUUUUGUGGAAAUGUGUGAAAGCAGAGAUUAGGAAUGUAAGGUAUCAGCAAGUUAGGUAAACAAAAUUACAAGUGAAUACACUCUAUUUUGAGAAAGGUAGUGUUUUAACAAUAAAGUCGUAAGUUUAUUAAUGAGAUAUGGAAGGCCCAAAUUCCGUUGUUGAAACCUUGUGCUCUGCUCAAUUUUUUUGACCAGCAAAUUAAAAUACAUUAACAGCAACAUUCUUUCCAAUAACUGAUUUACCUUGUCAUUACAGGCUAUCUUUUCUAAUGCCUUCAAAAUUACUCAGUCAAGCAGUAACUAGGUUAUGUUUCUAAAUGGGACCAGUAUCCAAAUGGUGAAAUUAUAACAUUAUGAUAGAAACGUAACUUUGCUCCUUGUGGUUUAUGCGAUACAUUUUGAAAUGGUGGUAAGAUGCUGUGCAUGUGUUGUUCAUUGAGAUGUGGCUGCUGGAACAUGUAAGCAAACACUAAAUUGGUGAUGUUGAAGUUUGAAGGAAUACUGUCUGAAGGUUCAUUUUUAUACUGUUUAGGUCCGCUUUAGAUUAUGAUCGUCUUUCUAAUAAUGUAGCUGUUUUUGUGGAUUUUAAUACAUUGACCAGUUUAUUUAUUUGAAUACCUCUAAAAGGGCACCCUCAGUUAGGAGUGCUUGAAGCAGUUAUACAUAAAUGAAACCAGAGGGGACAUGUUGCAACCUUUUGGUAACUGAGGGGGGUGGGGGGGUGGGGGAAUAAAAACAUUAAACCUGUUUACUUAGGCAUAAAUAUUUAUUCAUUUAUGAAAUCAUUUUAAAUUAUUUCAAGAUAGGCAACCCAAGCAAUUUUUUAUGGUUUUUGAAGGAAUCGUAUUGCACUUAGAAAUUUCCUUUUAUUAGGAAGUUCUUUAACCAGAGCAGGUAUAGUGAACAAGAUUGUUUGAGGGACUUGCUUUGAAUGACCUGGCUGUGUUGUGGAUUAGCUGACAUCUGUAAUGCAUGAUAAUUUUACUAGGUCCUGCAGUAACUGUUCACCCAUUCUAUUGUAAAGUUGUAUUUGUCUCAUUAAAAUAUAUUGAUAUUAAAAGCACCAGAAAAUAUGUAUAGAUCUAAUUAUUUGCAAUCCUAGACUAGCAUUUCUACGCAAGAUUUUGUUGUAAAUUUUCAAGAGCAUAUAUUAAAUACCUAAACCAGACUGGUACUGAGUGUUGUACAACUGCCCACCAAUAAAAACGUCUUCAGGGUCCAUUGUAAAAUUUGGGUAACUGUGUUUAAAUCUGUAGCAGACUCACAGUAGUCUUGCAGUGGAGACUGAGAUGAGAGUCUUGUGUAGCAAGUGCAACUCUGUUUAUGGGUAUAUGCAGUACCUUAAGUAAUAAUCCAGUAUGUGCAAUUGACAUUUUUCAUGCUCUGUAUAAGGACAGCUAAGAACGAUGCCAGAAGUCACCUGGACCAAAUAUGCUUUAAAUAUCAUUUUGUUCUGUGUUUGCCCAUUUAUAGGGAUUGGUUACAAUUAAGCUAUUCUGCAAAGCAGAUUUUGUGAAAUAUAUUCAGAAUACAGGUUCUGAAUGCUUUGCUGAAAUUUGGUGCAUGAAAGCUCAAAAUUGACCAAACCUCUUAAUUUCUGAGGAGGCUAUAUGUUGCCAUUUCACGUAGUACAUUAAAACACUGACCAGAUAUUUUAACCACAUCAACCUCAUUUUCUCAGAGAUUUAAUCUCCUGCAGCACCUGUGGGUCGAGGGUUAUCACAAAUAUCUCUAUCACAAUAAUGCAUAAUAAAGUUAGCAACAUAGUGCAUGUGUAUUUGACUAUCAAUAGCAAUGGAAAAGCAAAGUGCAGAACAGUACUUGUUACUUUCAAUUAUUUUAGUUGUACUUCUCAGUUUAUUUCAGGGUCUUUGAGACUUUUCAUUUACCAAAAUACUUGUGAUUUUUUAAAAAUACAUAUUGUGAAAUAUGAUGUACAUGUUUCAAGUCUGCUCUAUGUAACUUCUUUAAGUAUCUUCUGGAUUACAGCAACCAUAAUAUUUGUUCCUUGUAUGCUUGUAUUGUUGCAAGUCCUGCACUUUUAGGAGUAAUUGCCUUUUGGAAGUUUUUGAUUCAAAACAUUAAAUUCCUUUUUAUUUUUUGUGACCAAACAUGUAUGUAGCAUACUGCCUUGACGUGUGUUAUGUACUUGGAGUGGAUCAUGAGUUUUGACAAUCUCCUGUCCUACUUUCUUAGGUGGCACAAAAAUUGGCAUUUGGCACAAUAAGAAGUAAUUACAAAGAAAAGCUUUCUGUGGAACGGAGACUUUCUUGAGUUCAUGUUUUUGGUGUUAAUGGAAGGUUGCGAAUAUAGUGAAUUCUUAGUGUCUGCAUCUUGUUAACCCAUCCACUUUGGAAAAAGUAGAAGAUAGCAGCAUAUUGUGCCAUAACAAUUCUCAAGUUCCACUUUUGCAAGUAAACCUACAAUGUUAGAUUUAAUGUUUUGUAUGUAUUUUAUUCAUUUGCAAUAUACUAAGUUAAUUACUGAACAUCCUGGAGGAGCAAUUGAAAAAUAUUUUGCUAACAGAAUUUCUAGGUUUUUGAAAUCUUAAAAUAGGAAGCAGCAUCAUGUUUGCAAACAGGGGAAACAAUGAACGAAAAUGUUUAACAUGUCAAUAUUAACAUGGAACCAGGUGUACAAAUGAGAGAGAAUAUCAGUUUAGGGAUUUGGGUGUCAGUUGUUCAAAACCACUGCCCAUAUUAUAAUUGUGUAAUUAUUGAUGUUUACACCUUAAAACUGACAAGUAAAUCUAUUAGCCCAUGUCUCAUUGCAGAGCUUUUGCUGUGUUUGGCAUAGAUUGAGCACGAAAUGCUAAGCAGUGAGUGGUAUCAGAAUAGUCUCUUAUAAAUUUGUGCAAGAAAUUUUAGGAAAUGGUAUACUGUGACCAAAUCAGCUUUACCAGCUGAACUGUACACCCAUUAGUGCCUAGAAAACCAUCAGAGUAAAAUGUGGCUUUAUUUGCAGUUUUACAAGUGAAACAUUACUGGAAUCAUGUUACAUUGGAACAUUCAACUUUGGUCAAAUGUCUUUAAUUUAUUUGGUACCAAUUAGUGCAAAGACUUCUGUUGUUGCAGAAGGCUGUUAAAAUUGGUAAAACAUUAAACUAAAAUAAAACACAUUUCUUGCAAUGAUA